GUCUACGGCUGUACCACCCUGAACAUGCCCAAUCUCUCCUGCUCUCGGAAGCUAAGCAGGCUGGGCCCAGUGAGAACUUGGAUGGGAGAAACGAGCUGGGAGAUGAAGGAG
rnacentral:rRNA from 1 species